UUUUUCAUUGCAUCCAUUGAAACCAAAAUAGAAUACAAUAGACUAAGGCCUUGAAUGUUUUGUAGAUUUUGUAAGAGUUUUUAGAUUUUGUUUUUCAAAAACUUAUU
rnacentral:sRNA from 1 species